rfam:Cavia porcellus supercont2_71 genomic scaffold, whole genome shotgun sequence.
GGGGAUUUAGCUCAGCGGCAUAAGCGCCUGCCUUGCAAGCAGGCAGUCGUGAUUUCGAUCCCCG